rnacentral:rRNA from 1 species
AUUGAACGCUGGCGGCAGGCUUAACACAUGCAAGUCGAGCGGGGUGAUGGUGCUUGCACUAUCACUUAGCGGCGGACGGGUGAGUAAUGCUUAGGAAUCUGCCUAUUAGUGGGGGUCAACAUCUCGACAGGGAUGCUAAUACCGCAUACGUCCUACGGGAGAAAGCAGGGGAUCACUUGUGACCUUGCGCUAAUAGAUGAGCCUAAGUCGGAUUAGCUAGUUGGUGGGGUAAAGGCCUACCAAGGCGACGAUCUGUAGCGGGUCUGAGAGGAUGAUCCGCCACACUGGGACUGAGACACGGCCCAGACUCCUACGGGAGGCAGCAGUGGGGAAUAUUGGACAAUGGGGGGAACCCUGAUCCAGCCAUGCCGCGUGUGUGAAGAAGGCCUUAUGGUUGUAAAGCACUUUAAGCGAGGAGGAGGCUCUUUUGGUUAAUACCCAAGAUGAGUGGACGUUACUCGCAGAAUAAGCACCGGCUAACUCUGUGCCAGCCGCCGCGGUAA